GGACAAUGGGCGAAACGUGAUCCAGCAAUGCCGCGUGAGUGAUGAAGGCCUUAGGGUUGUAAAGCUCUUUUACCAGGGAUGAUAAUGACAGUACCUGGAGAAUAAGCUCCGGCUAACUCCGUGCCAGCAGCCGCGGUAAUACGGAGGGAGCUAGCGUUGUUCGGAAUUACUGGGCGUAAAGCGCACGUAGGCGGCAUACC
rnacentral:rRNA from 1 species